rnacentral:rRNA from 1 species
GAUGAACGCUGGCGGCGUGCCUAAUACAUGCAAGUCGAGCGAAUGGAUUAAGAGCUUGCUCUUAUGAAGUUAGCGGCGGACGGGUGAGUAACACGUGGGUAACCUGCCCAUAAGACUGGGAUAACUCCGGGAAACCGGGGCUAAUACCGGAUAACAUUUUGAACCGCAUGGUUCGAAAUUGAAAGUCGGCUUCGGCUGUCACUUAUGGAUGGACCCGCGUCGCAUUAGCGAGUUGGUGAGGUAACGGCUCACCAAGGCAACGAUGCGUAGCCGACCUGAGAGUGUGAGAGGCCACACUGGGACUGAGACACGGCCCAGACUCGUACGGGAGGAAGCAGUAGGGAAUCUUCCGCAAUGGACGAAGGUCUGACGGAGCAACGCCGCGUGAGUGAUGAAGGCUUUCGGGUCGUAAAACUCUGUUGUUAGGGAAGAACAAGUGCUAGUUGAAUAAGCUGGCACCUUGACGGUACCUAACCAGAAAGCCACGGCUAACUACGUGCCAGCCGACGCAGUAA